CUUCAUGGUCAGCUUCGUGUUUUGAAUCUUGGUAAACCUAGAUAGGAUGGAAAUGGUCCACAUCAGGGCUAACAACUGUAAACUAAAAAUAAAAUCCUACACCCCCCAACCAACUAAAUGGACCCCCUUUUGGCCAAGGGGACCCCAGGGAACCUUAAAAACAGGGUUUCCAGCUAUGAUGGGAAGGGACGUCAAACAUGCCAUGUUAUGCCCACGCCCUUUUGCAGCUUAGACACAACAAAUGACCAGCAUUAACGUCAAAGCAGAGAUCACAAGACUGACAGAAUGCAUUGUUUGUGUCAAUAAGAUACCUAAUUAUAAAUAGGAUCUAAGGCCAUGCCAGGCAAGGGUUAAGUCUUGCACCUCUGCACUUAAAGAAGAGACUAUGCUCUAACUGCCGCGAGGAUUUUCUUUUUCUGUAGCAGCUAAACAAGUACAGGACUUGAGAUAACCAAUAUUAAAACAAUUUGUAUAAUGUGGU
rnacentral:lncRNA from 1 species